GACGUUUAGCUGCAGAAGAAGCACCGGCUAACUCCGUGCCAGCAGCCGCGGUAAUACGGAGGGUGCGAGCGUUAAUCGGAAUUACUGGGCGUAAAGCGCAUGCAGGUGGUUUGUUAAGUCAGAUGUGAAAGCCCGGGGCUCAACCUCGGAAUUGCAUUUGAAACUGGCAAACUAGAGUACUGUAGAGGGGGUAGAAUUUCAGGUGUAGCGGUGAAAUGCGUAGAGAUCUGAAGGAAUACCGGUGGCGAAGGCGGCCCCCUGGACAGAUACUGACACUCAGAUGCGAAAGCGUGGGGAGCAAACAGGAUUAGAUACCCUGGUAG
rnacentral:rRNA from 1 species